rnacentral:rRNA from 1 species
CCUACGGGAGGCAGCAGUGGGGAAUUUUGGACAAUGGGCGCAAGCCUGAUCCAGCAAUGCCGCGUGAGUGAAGAAGGCCUUCGGGUUGUAAAGCUCUUUUGUCAGGGAAGAAACGGCCGAGGCUAAUACCUUUGGCUAGUGACGGUACCUGAAGAAUAAGCACCGGCUAACUACGUGCCAGCAGCCGCGGUAAUACGUAGGGUGCAAGCGUUAAUCGGAAUUACUGGGCGUAAAGCGUGCGCAGGCGGUUUUGUAAGUCUGACGUGAAAUCCCCGGGCUCAACCUGGGAAUUGCGUUGGAGACUGCAAGGCUGGAGUCUGGCAGAGGGGGGUAGAAUUCCACGUGUAGCAGUGAAAUGCGUAGAGAUGUGGAGGAACACCGAUGGCGAAGGCAGCCCCCUGGGUCAAGACUGACGCUCAUGCACGAAAGCGUGGGGAGCAAACAGGAUUAGAUACCCUGGUAGUCCACGCCCUAAACGAUGUCUACUAGUUGUCGGGUCUUAAUUGAUAGUACGACAGCUACGCGUGAGAGACCGCCGNGGGAGGUACGGUCGGUCGAGAAGUUAAACGUAACGUUAAAGAAAGUUAGUUACGGCGNGAGACGNGCCGACGGACGACGACGAGGGAGGAGGAG